rnacentral:pre_miRNA from 1 species
AAAGUACUCCCUCAGUCCCAAAAUUCUUGUCUUAGAUUUGUCUAGAUACAGAUGUAUCAAGUCACAUUUUAGUAUUAGAUACAUCCGUAUCUAGACAAAUCUAAGACAAGAAAUUUGGGACAGAGGGAGUAGUUG